rnacentral:lncRNA from 13 species
CUGAGGUGCCAACCCCACCCUGGGUGGGGCUACCAAACUGUGCAGGCUGGGCUUGCCGGACUAGUUGAAGGAGGUUAAUUCUAGGUAUUGGCCAGAAAACGGCUGGUUUGGAGGUUUUCUUUGCAUUCCUUUGGCUUGGAAACUGGAGAUGUUGGCUGGAAGAGACGCCUUGUGUAACAGCUACCUGACAGUGCUACCUCAGGAGGCAGAUCCGCAGCGUGUGCGCUCCGUGCGCUGCCGGCGCCGGGACCUGCCUGCGGAAUUCCAGCGUGAUUGCAGAUGUCCUUGGAGGGGAGGAGUUCCUGGAGGCACCAGCUGAAGCAAGACGCCUCACAAACAAAAGUUCAAGGUGUGAGCACAGCAGGGUCUGGCUCCUAGGUUGGCCUGUGCUUGCCACUGCACCCAAGGAGUUCUCAGACAGAUUCAAACCAGUGGAACUUGCAGUAGCAGAGAGGACAGAAAAUGGUGCCCAGCACCUCCUUCUGCUCAGCUGGGCUCUGUGCAUAGGCUUUGCCAUUCUUGCAGCCAUGCAUCACAGCUGCCUGCAGAUCACAUCUGCCUGAUGAUCUCCGCAGCAACUUGGGCACUCAAGGCGGGAAUAUGAGCUGCUUUGUCUCUCAGCGCUGGCAAAACUCUUUUCCCUCU